rnacentral:rRNA from 1 species
CAGUCGAACGAUGAUGCCCAGCUUGCUGGGUGGAUUAGUGGCGAACGGGUGAGUAACACGUGAGUAACCUGCCCCUGACUCUGGGAUAAGCGUUGGAAACGACGUCUAAUACUGGAUAUGACUGCCGGCCGCAUGGUCUGGUGGUGGAAAGAUUUUUUGGUUGGGGAUGGACUCGCGGCCUAUCAGCUUGUUGGUGAGGUAAUGGCUCACCAAGGCGACGACGGGUAGCCGGCCUGAGAGGGUGACCGGCCACACUGGGACUGAGACACGGCCCAGACUCCUACGGGAGGCAGCAGUGGGGAAUAUUGCACAAUGGGCGAAAGCCUGAUGCAGCAACGCCGCGUGAGGGAUGACGGCCUUCGGGUUGUAAACCUCUUUUAGUAGGGAAGAAGCGAAAGUGACGGUACCUGCAGAAAAAGCACCGGCUAACUACGUGCCAGCAGCCGCGGUAAUACGUAGGGUGCAAGCGUUGUCCGGAAUUAUUGGGCGUAAAGAGCUCGUAGGCGGUUUGUCGCGUCUGCUGUGAAAUCCCGAGGCUCAACCUCGGGCUUGCAGUGGGUACGGGCAGACUAGAGUGCGGUAGGGGAGAUUGGAAUUCCUGGUGUAGCGGUGGAAUGCGCAGAUAUCAGGAGGAACACCGAUGGCGAAGGCAGAUCUCUGGGCCGUAACUGACGCUGAGGAGCGAAAGCGUGGGGAGCGAACAGGAUUAGAUACCCUGGUAGUCCACGCCGUAAACGUUGGGCGCUAGAUGUAGGGACCUUUCCACGGUUUCUGUGUCGUAGCUAACGCAUUAAGCGCCCCGCCUGGGGAGUACGGCCGCAAGGCUAAAACUCAAAGGAAUUGACGGGGGCCCGCACAAGCGGCGGAGCAUGCGGAUUAAUUCGAUGCAACGCGAAGAACCUUACCAAGGCUUGACAUACACCGGAAACGGCCAGAGAUGGUCGCCCCCUUGUGGUCGGUGUACAGGUGGUGCAUGGUUGUCGUCAGCUCGUGUCGUGAGAUGUUGGGUUAAGUCCCGCAACGAGCGCAACCCUCGUUCUAUGUUGCCAGCGCGUUAUGGCGGGGACUCAUAGGAGACUGCCGGGGUCAACUCGGAGGAAGGUGGGGAUGACGUCAAAUCAUCAUGCCCCUUAUGUCUUGGGCUUCACGCAUGCUACAAUGGCCGGUACAAAGGGCUGCGAUACCGUAAGGUGGAGCGAAUCCCAAAAAGCCGGUCUCAGUUCGGAUUGAGGUCUGCAACUCGACCUCAUGAAGUCGGAGUCGCUAGUAAUCGCAGAUCAGCAACGCUGCGGUGAAUACGUUCCCGGGCCUUGUACACACCGCCCGUCAAGUCAUGAAAGUCGGUAACACCCGAAGCCGGU